GACGAACCGUCCAAACGUUAUUCGGAAUUACUGGGCUUAAAGGGUGCGUAGGCGGCGCGGAAAGUAGGGUGUGAAAUCCCUCGGCUUAACCGAGGAACUGCGUCCUAAACUACCGUGCUCGAGGGAGAUAGAGGUAAGCGGAACUUAGGGUGGAGCGGUGAAAUGCGUUGAUAUCCUAAGGAACACCGGUGGCGAAAGCGGCUUACUGGAUCUCUUCUGACACUGAGGCACGAAAGCUAGGGUAGCAAACUGG
rnacentral:rRNA from 1 species